CCUACGGUAGGCAGCAGUGGGGAAUAUUGCACAAUGGGGGAAACCCUGAUGCAGCGACGCCGCGGGAGUGAAGAAGUAUUUCGGUAUGUAAAGCUCUAUCAGCAGGGAAGAAAAUGACGGUACCUGAUUAAGAAGCCCCGGCUAACUACGUGCCAGCAGCCGCGGUAAUACGUAGGGGGCAAGCGUUAUCCGGAUUUACUGGGUGAAAAGGGAGCGUAGACGGCAGCACAAGUCUGGAGUGAAAUGCCGGGGCUAACCCCGGAACUGCUUUGGAAACUGUGCAGCUAGCGUGCAGGAGAGGUAAGUGGAAUUCCUAGUGUAGCGGUGAAAUGCGUAGAUAUUAGGAGGAACACCAGUGGCGAAGGCGGCUUACUGGACUGUAACUGACGUUGAGGCUCGAAAGCGUGGGGAGCAAACAGGAUUAGAUACCCCUGUAGUC
rnacentral:rRNA from 1 species